rnacentral:rRNA from 1 species
UAUUAUUCCAAGAUAAAUUUUUACUGAGGUUAGUAAUAGAUAUUUACUUAAAAGCUAAAAAAUUUGGCGGUAAUUUAAUCUUUCCAGAGGAACUUGUUUUUUAAUCGAUAAACCGCGAAUUAUUCUACUUGCUUUAGUAAAGUUUGUAUACCGUCAUUAUCAGGUAAUUUUAAAAAAAUAAAUUUCUUAACUUAAAAGUUUAUAAAAAUUAGAUCAUGGUGCAGCUUAUGAGUGAGUUAAAAUGAGUUACAAUAAAUUAUUUUAUACGGAUUAUUAGGAGAAAUCUUAAUUUGAAGGAGGAUUUGGUAGUAUUCUAAGUUUAGUACGCUUAGUAGAUGUCAGCUCUAAAUUAUGUACAUAU